rnacentral:rRNA from 1 species
UACAGAGGGGGCAAGCGUUGUUCGGAAUUACUGGGCGUAAAGGGCGCGUAGGUGGCCUUCUAAGUCGAACGUGAAAUCCCUGGGCUCAACCCAGGAACUGCGUCCGAUACUGGAAGGCUUGAAUCCGGGAGAGGGAUGCGGAAUUCCAGGUGUAGCGGUGAAAUGCGUAGAUAUCUGGAGGAACACCGGUGGCGAAGGCGACAUCCUGGACCGGCAUUGACGCUGAGGCGCGAAAGCUAGGGGAGCAAACGGG